rnacentral:misc_RNA from 1 species
UUUCCGUAGGUGAACCUGCGGAAGGAUCAUUAUCGUACAAAAUGUGAGGGGAAUGCCAGGGCUGUCGCUGCCCCAAAAGUCGUGCACGCCCGAGUGUGUCCUCUUGCAUAAUAAUCCAUCUCUCCCUUUGUGCAUCACCGCGUGGGCACCCUUCGGGAUCAUCUCGGAGGGGGGCUCGCGUUUUCACACAAACCCCCCUUUUAACAGUGUAGAAUGACCACAUUUAUGCAAUCAAUACAACUUUCAACAACGGAUCUCUUGGCUCUC